rnacentral:rRNA from 1 species
AUUGAACGCUGGCGGCAGGCCUAACACAUGCAAGUCGAGCGGAUGAAGGGAGCUUGCUCCUGGAUUCAGCGGCGGACGGGUGAGUAAUGCCUAGGAAUCUGCCUGGUAGUGGGGGAUAACGUCCGGAAACGGGCGCUAAUACCGCAUACGUCCUGAGGGAGAAAGUGGGAGAUCUUCGGACCUCACGCUAUCAGAUGAGCCUAGGUCGGAUUAGCUAGUUGGUGGGGUAAAGGCCUACCAAGGCGACGAUCCGUAACUGGUCUGAGAGGAUGAUCAGUCACACUGGAACUGAGACACGGUCCAGACUCCUACGGGAGGCAGCAGUGGGGAAUGUUGGACAAUGGGCGAAAGCCUGAUCCAGCCAUGCCGCGUGUGUGAAGAAGGUCUUCGGAUUGUAAAGCACUUUAAGUUGGGAGGAAGGGCAGUAAGUUAAUACCUUGCUGUUUUGACGUUACCAACAGAAUAAGCACCGGCUAACUUCGUG